rnacentral:rRNA from 1 species
UACGUAGGAGGCGAGCGUUGUCCGGAGUUAUUGGGCGUAAAGGGCGCGUAGGCGGCUCUGCACGUCCGUUGUGAAAUCGCCCGGCUCAACUGGGCGGGGUCAGCGGAUACGGCAGAGCUUGAGCAAGCUAGGGGGCAAUGGAAUUCCCGGUGUAGUGGUGGAAUGCGUAGAUAUCGGGAGGAACACCAGUGGCGAAGGCGGUUGCCUGGGGCUUUGCUGACGCUGAUGCGCGAAAGCGUGGGGAGCGAUCCGG